rnacentral:rRNA from 1 species
GAUGAACGCUGGCGGCGUGCCUAAUACAUGCAAGUCGAGCGAACAGAUGAGGAGCUUGCUCCUCUGACGUUAGCGGCGGACGGGUGAGUAACACGUGGAUAACCUACCUAUAAGACUGGGAUAACUUCGGGAAACCGGAGCUAAUACCGGAUAAUAUAUUGAACCGCAUGGUUCAAUAGUGAAAGACGGUUUUGCUGUCACUUAUAGAUGGCUCCGCGCCGCAUUAGCUAGUUGGUAAGGUAACGGCUUACCAAGGCAACGAUCAGUAGCCAACGUGAGAGGGUGAUCGCCCACACUGGAACUGAGCCACGGUCCAGACUCCUACGGGAGGCAGCAGUAGGGAAUCUUCGGCAAUGGGCGAAAGCCUGACGGAGCAACGCCGCGUGAGUGAUGAAGGUCUUCGGAUCGUAAAACUCUGUUAUUAGGGAAGAACAAAUGUGUAAGUAACUAUGCACGUCUUGACGGUACCUAAUCAGAAAGCCACGGCUAACUACGUG